AACGAACGCUGGCGGCAUGCCUAACACAUGCAAGUCGAACGAGAUCUUCAGGUCUAGUGGCGCACGGGUGCGUAACGCGUGGGAAUCUGCCCUUUGGUUCGGAAUAACAGUUGGAAACGACUGCUAAUACCGGAUGAUGACGAAAGUCCAAAGAUUUAUCGCCAGAGGAUGAGCCCGCGUAGGAUUAGCUAGUUGGUGUGGUAAAGGCGCACCAAGGCGACGAUCCUUAGCUGGUCUGGGAGGAUGAUCAGCCACACUGGGACUGAGACACGGCCCAGACUCCUACGGGAGGCAGCAGUGGGGAAUAUUGGACAAUGGGCGAAAGCCUGAUCCAGCAAUGCCGCGUGAGUGAUGAAGGCCUUAGGGUUGUAAAGCUCUUUUACCCGGGAUGAUAAUGACAGUACCGGGAGAAUAAGCUCCGGCUAACUCCGUGCCAGCAGCCGCCGUAA
rnacentral:rRNA from 1 species